AGCAGCCGCGGUAAUUCCAGCUCCAAUAGCGUAUAUUAAAGUUGUUGCAGUUAAAAAGCUCGUAGUUGAAUUUCGGGAUUAGUAAGUUGGUCGUGCCUCCGGUAUGUACUGGCUCUACUGGUUCCUCCUUCUUGAAGAACUGUAAUGUCAUUAAUUUGGUGUUGCAGGGAAACAGGACUGUUACUUUGAAAAAAUUAGAGUGUUUAAAGCAGGCUAACGCUUGAAUACAUUAGCAUGGAAUAAUGAGGUAGGACGUUUGAUCCUAUUUUGUUGGUUUCUAGGAUUGACGUAAUGAUUAAUAGGGAUAGUUGGGGGCAUUAGUAUUCAAUUGUCAGAGGUGAAAUUCUUGGAUUUAUUGAAGACUAACUACUGCGAAAGCAUUUGCCAAGGAUGUUUUCAUUAAUCAAGAACGAAAGUUAGGGGAUCGAAGACGAUCAGAUACCGUCGUAGUCUUAACCAUAAACUAUGCCGACUAGGGAUCGGAUGAUGUUAAUUUUUUAAUGACUCAUUCGGCGCCUUACG
rnacentral:rRNA from 1 species